rnacentral:rRNA from 1 species
GACGAACGCUGGCGGCGUGCUUAACACAUGCAAGUCGAACGGAAAGGCCCUGCUUUUGUGGGGUGCUCGAGUGGCGAACGGGUGAGUAACACGUGAGUAACCUGCCCUUGACUUUGGGAUAACUUCAGGAAACUGGGGCUAAUACCGGAUAGGAGCUCCUGCUGCAUGGUGGGGGUUGGAAAGUUUCGGCGGUUGGGGAUGGACUCGCGGCUUAUCAGCUUGUUGGUGGGGUAGUGGCUUACCAAGGCUUUGACGGGUAGCCGGCCUGGGAGGGUGACCGGCCACAUUGGGACUGAGAUACGGCCCAGACUCCUACGGGAGGCAGCAGUGGGGAAUACUGCACAAUGGGCGGAAGCCUGAUGCAGCAACGCCGCGUGCGGGAUGACGGCCUUCGGGUUGUAAACCGCUUUCGCCUGUGACGAAGCGUGAGUGACGGUAAUGGGUAAAGAAGCACCGGCUAACUACGUG